CUCCCUUCAGUUCAAGAGUGUGAUGAUUGGGUAUUUAUGCUGUAUGCAUGAGAUGUGCCCCCCUCAAACCUUGUUACAUGGGCACAUUACCAGUCAGACA